rnacentral:rRNA from 3 species
GGGAGUGGGUUGCAAAAGAAGUAGGUAGCUUAACCUUCGGGAGGGCGCUUACCACUUUGUGAUUCAUGACUGGGGUGAAGUCGUAACAAGGUAACCGUAGGGGAACCUGCGGUUGGAUCACCUCCUUACCUUAAAGAA